AGCGGCCACCAUCUUGGAGAGCUGAAGUAACCACUGCCACUCUCCCACAGAUUGCAACAAUAAAACAGGUGCGUGUUACUCAGCUCCUCUCCCAUACAGCGGGGAAUUGGCAAAAAAUCUCUCCUAGGCUCUCCAGGGGAGGGAUUAUCAGAGCAAGCCUGCAUAAAGACGCGGGGAGAACUAGAGACACCCGACCUUCAACUCCCCCUCCCAUCAGCAGGGAAAACGAAACCUGUAUUGCCAGCGCGGGGGGAGGGGCAAGCUGAAAAAAUCAAAACAAUAGAGUGCCGGGGGGUUUUCAAUAGCCACCCUCCACACCCAACAAACGGCAGGCCCAGAGUACAGUUUGAACUGCCGAGAGGCAUCACUCAGGGGAAAACUAGUCUAGCAGGAGAAACCAGGACUAGCAGGAGAAACCAGGGGAAUAGAGGCCAGGCCCUCGCGACUGGGCAGCUGGAUAAACUCCACCCGCUGCCCGCGAGACUGGGUGGCUGGAGUCCUCCCCCCGCCUUUGACCCACUGCGCGUCUGGGCAGCUAGAGAUUGCCCGCCUACCAGCAACAGCCGGCCCAUUACCCCUGCGACUGGGUGGCUGGAGACCGCACGCCCGCCUGCGACAGCCAGCCCAUUGCCCCUGUGUCUGGGUGGCUAGAGAUCGCCCGCCCACCAGCGACAGCCAGCCCAUUGCCCCUGCGACUGAGCAGCUGGAAACCGCACGCCUGCUGAUGAAGUGUACCUAUACAAAUAGCAGACAGCAUGGGGUUCGUGGAAGUUGCAAAGCUGGCCUGGAAAAGUGAAGUUUUCUGGACUUAGCCUCCUUUGUCACUAAGUUUGUAGACAUGUGCUGUAGUGCCUGGCCUUCAUAUGUAUCUUUGUAUGUAUUUUGAACAGAAAGUUCUUUCCUUGCUGUUGCUGCUGCUUUGUCUUUUCCUUCUUUUCUUGUGUGUGUGUGUGUGUGUGUGUGUGUGUGUGUGGGAGGGGGUUCAUCAUUUCAAUGUCUUUUUCCCACACUGAGAUAAUAAAUGCAUUCAGAUUUGUUGUCUUUGAGGAGAGUAAAAUGUGUACAUUUAAAUUUCUGACUAUAUCUGUCAUCAUUCAGCCAGGAUAUUCAGAAAUAUACAUAGAUAUUGGUCUUAGCAUCUAGGUUAAGGCUACUGUCACAUGGUAUACAGCAGUAAUGGCUACCUCAUCAUAUACAGAUGAGCAUCAUCCUCCAAUAUUAGCCCAAUGACUUGUAGCAUAUGCCAAAGCUGAAGUUUUCACUCAGUGCUAUAAGGGAGCAGAGUACCUCAGCAGAGGAAGUGGCACCAAAGAGAUGGAAAGGCUUAAAGGAUAUUCAUUUGGAUUUUGAAGUCUAGCAUAGGAGGGGAUCUUUUAAGGGUUUGGGAUUGGGAAGGAAUUGUGAUGUAAUGAUUCAAGGUUGUUGGACACAGGGAAGCUCAGAGUUUUUAAUUUAUUUGUAAUUGACCCUUAUUAUUUGUGUGUUUAUGGGAUAUAACAUGAUAUUUCAGUAUGUAUGUAUAUCAUGUGUAAUAAUCAAAUCAGGGUAAAUAGCAUUUCCUUCACCGCAAUGAUUUAUCCAUUCUUUGUAUGGGAAAGUUUCAAAAUCUAUCUGCUAAUAAUUCUGAAAUACACAGCCAAUUGUUAACUAUACUCACCCUAGUCUGUUAUAGUACUCUGGAAUGUAUCCCUUCUAUCUAACUGUAUUUUGGUGGCCAAUAUCCACCUUCUGUCUGUCACCUUCCCUUCUUCUCCUCUCAGCCUCUGCUGACCUCUGUUCUCCUCUCCACUUCUAUGAGGUCAACUUUCUAAGCAUCCACAUGUUGAAGAGGACAUGUAGCACAAGUGUUUCUGUAAUGAAGAUGCAGCUUUUGAAACACAAGUUUGAAAGAAUGUUGGGGUGAAAAAAUGUCACUUGACACUUUUGUUUGUGGAGUGAUGGGCCUUUCCUGCAGCUGGUGAAAUGAACAAUGAAGUUUUGGGGAACUUUACUUUCCUGGGUAAGAGAUUCCUGCAUUAGUAUAGUUAUGUUAAUGUAACCAGUGGCAUAUAAACUCUGGUUUAUGUGAA